rnacentral:rRNA from 1 species
GACGAACGCUGGCGGCAUGCCUAACACAUGCAAGUCGAACGGAGAUUAUUUCGGUAAUCUUAGUGGCGAACGGGUGAGUAACGCGUGGGCAACCUGCCCUCUAGAUGGGGACAACAUCCCGAAAGGGGUGCUAAUACCGAAUGUGACAGCAAUCUCGCAUGAGGAUGCUGUGAAAGAUGGCCUCUAUUUAUAAGCUAUCGCUAGAGGAUGGGCCUGCGUCUGAUUAGCUAGUUGGUGGGGUAACGGCCUACCAAGGCGAUGAUCAGUAGCCGGUCUGAGAGGAUGAACGGCCACAGUGGGACUGAGACACGGCCCAGACUCCUACGGGAGGCAGCAGUGGGGAAUCUUCCGCAAUGGGCGAAAGCCUGACGGAGCAAUGCCGCGUGAGUGAUGAAGGAAUUCGUUCCGUAAAGCUCUUUUGUUUAUGACGAAUGUGCAGAUUGUGAACAAUGAUCUGUAAUGACGGUAGUAAACGAAUAAGCCACGGCUAACUACGUG